UUGAGAAGAACAAACAUGACGUCAAAUUAUAUAGUCGAGUGCGACGUGGAGAAAUUUCUCGAGGCUACUAAAGCCCAUCCAAACAUUUUCGACCUCAGAAGACACGAUUAUAACGUUCAUGGCAGUUCAUAGUACAGCGCUAACGCCAACCAAACGUGGCGAAUCGAACGGAACUCGGCGAGUUCCGCGCUGGAGUUGGACUAUAAACCAGCCUUUAAGGCCUCAGAGCGGCAACAUAAGUCUUCUUGUCGUGUUGCCUCUCCCAAAAUUUGUGUCGGUGAAGGUGACCACUUAUUGUGAACGAUUCGGCGAAGAUGACCACUGUGUAAAUCCUUACCAACUUUCGAUCUCUCACAUUUCGUCUCCGAGCAAGACUCAUGCAAAGAUGACCGCACAGAUGUGAUUGUUAAGUCCGAUUCCCUAAUUCUUUUUUCGUCGGAAUCCCGAUCAACCGCUGCAUCAAUCCUUUUUCCUCGAGGGAAGACAUUUUCUUGAUUGUCUUCUACUCCGGUUACAUUCUUUUCUCUGCCCUAUCACGCCAACUGCGUGUCAUAUGAUUCUUUAUGUGACCGUAAUUCUUGGUUGUUUAUUUGUUCUUCUCUAUGGUAGAGGAUAGAGUACUCCGAGCCAACUGGAAC
rnacentral:lncRNA from 1 species